GGUAACAGACAGGCCGUGGGUAGACGCUCCGGUUUCCGCACUGUGGCUAGAUAAACGCGGCUCUCCUAGAGCCAGAAUGAGGCACAGCCUUGAAAGAAACCACAGCCCCAGCGCUUUAUGUUUAAUUUACUUUUUUGAAGAACUGGGAUUGCCCUCCCCGCUUCAGUUAUUCUAAACUAAUGAGACGACCUGAAGGAAUGUACUGAGACCUCUGCGUUCGGUUGGGCUCUCAUCCAAAGAGCUUGGCGUCCCCUGGUGGCCAUGGAAACACAGAGCCUGCACCCCACCCCCACCCCCCGGCCAGGAUCUGCAGCGGGCGGGGAAGCCCGCGCUGGACGUCGCCCUCCUGGUACCAAAGAUUAAACCCAGCGACUAGGACAUGCUGGGCAAGCCCUCUACACCUGAGCUACGCUCCAGAACUUUUUAUUUGAGACAGGAUCUCUAAAUUGCCCAGGCUGCCCUUGAAUUUGAGCCGCUUCCAUGUCAGCCCUCCAAGCAGCUGGGACUGCAGGUGUGCACCAGCACAGCUGGCUUUAAGCAUCUUGCCUGGUAAAUGCUGUAGACAGCCUAGCAGCUCCUUUGGAACAUAGCAUUUAUUUUAAACUUAGUAGCUGAGUCAAACCAGUAAUAUGACAUUUACGGCAUGAUUAAUAGGAAAAAAGAAACCGGGGAAACACUAUGUGCUUAACAAUAUUGGUUCAAUAAAUGAGAGGACAUUCAGACCGUAUGAAGAACAGGAGCGGGUGUCCAAGAUGUAUCAUGUGAGCAAGUGAGUAUUCAGGAUUGCCACCGAGACGUCUCACAGGAGAGGAGGUCUUCACACGUGUGUCUUUAUAUGCACAGGAUGUUUCUGGUUCUAUGUGCUAGAAACUGGAAUCCACUGCUUCUAAGAUCACACAGUCAUUUCAAGUUACGAUUAUGAAGAUCAACGAAGCAACAUGGAAAAAUCUUAUGAUGUAAAGCGAAGAAUGCAGGACUCCAAGUGAGUAUAAGCAUUGUACUCUCAGCUGUGUCAAGAUAUGCAAAUAAAAGAG